rnacentral:lncRNA from 10 species
CCUUUCUUUCAUGGACACUCAAACCCCAGAUCCCCUAUCAUUAAGAGCGCAGCAAGGCUGUGGGGAAGUAGGCCUGGGUGUCCCUGGGCUUUUGUCUGCCACCUCCUUCCCCUCAAGGUGCCCCAGCGCCCUCAUCCUGCCUCCUCCCCGGCCAAACUCUCCUUCUUGUAUCCCACCUAGAGCCUGCAAGCAUGGUCUGUCCUUCAAAACAUGCCCGCUGUAUGCCAUUCCUACUGGACAGGAGUCCUCGCUGUCAGCUGCAUGUUAGAGCCACUGGGGAAGCUUUCACUGUCCCCAUGCUGGGACUUCCACUGAUGAUUGCAUCAGAAUCUCUGGGGGAGGGCUUCAGACACCCCAGGUAUUAUAUUGUAUAGCUUGGAUUGAAAACACAACUUGAGUGUUGCCUGGAGGUUAAUUAGAAAAAGGACUCCCCAUUCAUCUGUUAGCGAGCGAUGUUGUUACCCCACCCACAGAGCCCUUUGCUUGAAUCCAGGCAACCUACCAGGCUCCUGAACAGUCUUCUCAAAGAAGUGUUUCUUGAAGGUCUCCAGUGCACCUCACCCUGGGCUCCACCGGCCCUCAUUACGCUGCCAUGGAUGACGUUAGCCUCAUCUUCAGUUGAGAAAGCUGAGACUCAGCAAGUUUCCUUGUAACUAGGGAGGGGCAGGGCAGUGGUUUAAAAUAAAGCCAUGCACACCUCCUUCCCCAGAGCAUCCAGUGCCUUGCUGAUGGAAAAGCCACCGCUGCUGAGAAAGGCAGCUGUGCCUGGGCCCCGCAGGUCACACUGGAGUCCUCACCUCCAUCUCUGCAUUCUGGUGCAUUUGGAAGAGGAUUUCUAGAGGUGGGAGAGGAGAUGUAACUUCCCCCACCUCCUUCGCAUCUUCUAACAGUUGCAGCCUCCUCUGCUUUGCGCAUUCACAGGGAGGAGCAUGGGCAGCACCUGCAUGGGUGGCACACAGCCUCAGCCUGCAGGAGCAUACACACCCCAACAGCACUCGUUCUGCAGCUGUGGCCUGCACCUUCCUCAACCCCUGGCCCCUCAUCUAGGCUGUUACAGGGGAACUGGAAUCCACCCGGCUCAGGGCCCAGGUACUUCCGCAAGAGGCUGUUGCCCUAAGCUCAGCCCAUCCUGAGACAGGUGAUGAAGACAUGGCAAGCCUUCCAGAAGCUGCUGUGUGUGUGUGUGUGUGUGUGUGUGUGUGUGUGUGUUUCAGACUCGGUAGGAAAGGAUGGGCCAUUGACAAGAAUAACACAGACCAGCAGGCAGAGCAGGCAUCACAGGAGACGCCCUAAAGGACAAUAAGGAAGCAGGCUUGUGUGCAGCUGGGCCUGGCCUCCCUGGUGUGAACUGACUGGCUGGCACCAGGCAAGGUAGGCCGGACCUAGGGUGUGGUGGCUCAUGAGGCCAUUAGAGCAUCUGUCAGGCCCAGCACCCAGGGCUUGUGCAGUGGGGCAGGCCCUACCCUUGCAACCGUGCAGGGAGAGGGUGAACUCAAUCCAGAGCACUUCCUUCUUAGGGGGCCACAUGUCCGUUGUGAUUUCAGGGAUUUGAGCACCUGCUUUUUCUGGCAUAUAUUCUGUGGUCUUGUGGACACAGUAUUGGCUGUGGCCCAGGCUCUGCCCUGGUUCUCUUCCCGACAGACUGUGUGGCCAUGGGCAAGUCGCAUCACUUCUCUGGGCUGCCACAUCCUCUUUGAUAAGACGAUGAGGUUGGGCUAGAUGACCUCUAGAAUCCCUUCCGACUUGCUGUCAGAUUGCUCUAGGAUCCAAGAUUCGUUUCUAAGACAAUAUUGAGAGGCAAUACGGCCUAUAUGGCUGGAUCCUGUGAGACGGGGGUUUACACACAUUCUGAUGCUGUACAAUCUUCACGUUAAAAGCAAAUACUGGAAUAUGGCAUUCCUCAAAAAAAUUAAACGUAAAAUUACCAUAUGAUCCAGCAAUUCUACUUCCUAAUACAUAUGCAGAUGAAUUGGAAGCAGAGUGUCAAACAGAUAGUUGUACACCCAUGUUCAUAGCAGCAUUACUCACAAUAACCAAAGGAUGGAAACAAACCAAGUAUCCACCAACAGAUGAAUGGAUAAAAAAAAGUGACAUAUCACAAAGGAAUGUGAUUCAACCUUAAAAAGGAAGGACAUUCUGAUACAUGCUACAACAUGGAUGGACCUGGAGGACAAUGUGUUGAGUGAAAUAAGCCAGAUACAAAAGGUCAAAUACUGUAUGAUUCCGCUUACAUGAGUCAUCACCUUCCUAGAGACAUGAAGUAGAAAGGUGGCUGCCAGGGACUGGGGCACUCACUGGGUAAUCGGAAGUUACUUCUUCAUGGAUGCAGAUUUUCACCUUGGGAAGAUGAAAAAUGUUCUGAAAAUGGUGCUGGAGGUUGCACAACAAUGUGAAUGUAUUUAAUGUCACUGAAAUUUACACUUAAAAAUGGUUAAAACUUUAUGGUAUGUAUAUUUACCACAGUACAAAAAGCAUGGCCGGGUGUGGUGGCUCAUGCCUGUAAUCCCAACACUUUGGGAGGCCGAGGCGGGCGGAUCACUUGAGGUCGGGAGUUUGAGAUCGGCCUGGCCAACAUGGUGAAACCCUGUCUCCACUAAAAAUACAAGAAUUAGUUGGGUGUGGUGGUGCACGCCUGUAAUCCCAGCUACUCGGGAGGCUGAGGCAGGAGAAUGGCUGGAACCUGGGAGGUGGAGGUUACAGUGAGCCGAGAUCAUGCUACUGAACUCUAGCCCCUGGGUGACAGAGCGGGACUCUGUCUCAAACAAACAAACAAAAAACAAACUCCAAAACCAAAAAACAAACAAAAAACCCAAAACAAAAAACAAACCGAAAUGCAAAUACUAGGAUGUUUAUGUAUCUUAACAUGUUAAAUUUAGUAUAAGAAAUAAUUGUAAAUCAUAAUUUGUGCUGGCAUAUAGCCCUCUUGUUUGAUAUGAGUGAAACUAAUCAUUGAAUAAUUAAUUUGAAAAAUUAAAGUGGGAAAUUACUAGAAUGAUGCUUCUAUACUCUAUUUAUUCACCAAUCAUCAGAUUCUUUCUUCGUACUUAGGUUUGCUGAGAAUUCAGCAUGGUCUUUCUUACAUAAACCACACUCAAAGUACAUCAUUUACAAAUUCCAGUUUCAGAGUCUUUAACAUAGAAUUUGUUAGAAAUCUUAGAGAUCUUAGAGACACUUAAGAAGAACAAUGAAUGCAGAUUCCUUCUAGGUUUCCUGACCCUUCCCCAAGCCCAAUUCUUUCAUAAUUGCAUUGCCCCACCUAAUUCCAUAUCUAUAUCAAAUCUAUAUCUAUAUCACUAUCAGUUUAUAUAAGAGUUUAAACAACUAAGCUUUAUAAAGUUUUCCCAAAGCAUUCAAGUUAUUAUGGAAAUGACAAUAACAUUCACCACCCACUUCAAUGGGCUUGUGGACAAACACAGUUCUCAGUUUGUAAGCACAGAACUCAAUUAGAGGAACAGAUGUGUACAGCACACUGUAAAAUGGGUGAAAAGACAAGCAUCAGGUGGGCGAAGACAGUUGCAACACGUAUACUGACAAAUGACUAGGAUUUCAAAUAUACAGAAAGAACUUAACCAGAUUAAUAUGGAAAAGAAAUAACCCAAUAAGAAAAGGGGCUUAUUAGACAGGCACAAAACCAAAGAGGAAAUUCAGAUGGUCAACAAACAUGAAAAAGUGGCUCAAAUUUAUUAGUCAUCAGGAAAAUGCAAACUAAAACUACAAUGAGAUAGCCUUACACAGGAGACAGGAAAGAACUAAAAAUUCUGAAAAUACUAAUCGUCAGCAAGGGUUUAGAGCCACAGCAACUCUAGCGAAAGUUCUAUGAACUUAGAACUUAGAAUUCAUAGAGUCUAGUGAAACUCUAUGAAUGCCAUUUUGGAAAGCAGUUGCCCUGUCUAUGAGAUUGAAUAUCCACAUGCUCAGAGAUGGAUAAAUUCCUGGAAAGAUACAACCCUCCUAGCUAAAAUCAGAAAGAAUUAGAUACCCCGAACAGACCAAUAACAAGCAACGAGGUUGAAAUGGUAAUUAAAAAUGUACCAACAACAGGCUGGGCAUGGUGGCUCACAACUGAAAUCCCAGCACUUUGGGAGGCCGAGGCCGGUGGAUCAUGAGGUCAGGAGAUCAAGACCAUCUUAGCUAACACGGUGAAACCCCAUCUCUACUAAAAAUACAAAAAAUUAGCCAGGCGCGGUGGCGGGCGACUGUGGUCCCAGCUACUCGGGAGGCUGAGGGAGGAGGAUGGUGUGAACCUGGGAGGCAGAGCUUGCAGUGAGCUGAGAUUUCACUACUGCACUCCAGCCUGGGCGACAGAGCGAGACUCCAUCUCAAAAAAAAAAAAAAAAAAAUGUACCAACAACAAAGAAGUCCAGGACCAGACAGAUUCACAGCAGAAUAAGUCCAGGACCAGAUAAUUCACAGCAAAAAUCUUAUCAGACAUUCAAAGAAGAAUUGGUACCAAUCCUACUGAUGCUAUUUCACAAAAUAGAGAAAGAGGGAACCCUCCCUAAAUCAUUUUAUGAAGCUAAUAUCACCCAAAUACCAAAACCAGGAAAGAACAUAACCAAAAAAGAAAACUACAGACCAAUAUCCCUAUAUGCAAAAAAAU